AGAGUUUGAUCCUGGCUCAGAUUGAACGCUGGCGGCAUGCCUUACACAUGCAAGUCGAACGGCAGCACGGGAGCAAUCCUGGUGGCGAGUGGCGAACGGGUGAGUAAUAUAUCGGAACGUGCCCAGUCGUGGGGGAUAACGCAGCGAAAGCUGUGCUAAUACCGCAUACGAUCUCUGGAUGAAAGCGGGGGACUCGCAAGAGCCUCGCGCGAUUGGAGCGGCCGAUAUCAGAUUAGCUAGUUGGUGGGGUAAAAGCCCACCAAGGCGACGAUCUGUAGCUGGUCUGAGAGGACGACCAGCCACACUGGAACUGAGACACGGUCCAGACUCCUACGGGAGGCAGCAGUGGGGAAUUUUGGACAAUGGGCGAAAGCCUGAUCCAGCAAUGCCGCGUGCAGGAUGAAGGCCUUCGGGUUGUAAACUGCUUUUGUACGGAACGAAACGGUCUCUUCUAAUAAAGGGGGCUAAUGACGGUACCGUAAGAAUAAGCACCGGCUAACUACGUGCCAGCAGCCGCGGUAAUACGUAGGGUGCGAGCGUUAAUCGGAAUUACUGGGCGUAAAGCGUGCGCAGGCGGUUAUAUAAGACAGAUGUGAAAUCCCCGGGCUCAACCUGGGACCUGCAUUUGUGACUGUAUAGCUAGAGUACGGUAGAGGGGGAUGGAAUUCCGCGUGUAGCAGUGAAAUGCGUAGAUAUGCGGAGGAACACCGAUGGCGAAGGCAAUCCCCUGGACCUGUACUGACGCUCAUGCACGAAAGCGUGGGGAUCAAACAGGAUUAGAUACCCUGGUAGUC
rnacentral:rRNA from 1 species